rnacentral:rRNA from 1 species
UAGGGAAUCUUCGGCAAUGGACGGAGGUCUGACCGAGCAACGCCGCGUGAGUGAAGAAGGUUUUCGGAUCGUAAAGCUCUGUUGUAAGAGAAGAACGAGUGUGAGAGUGGAAAGUUCACACUGUGACGGUAUCUUACCAGAAAGGGACGGCUAACUACGUGCCAGCAGCCGCGGUAAUACGUAGGUCCCGAGCGUUGUCCGGAUUUAUUGGGCGUAAAGCGAGCGCAGGCGGUUAGAUAAGUCUGAAGUUAAAGGCUGUGGCUUAACCAUAGUAGGCUUUGGAAACUGUUUAACUUGAGUGCAAGAGGGGAGAGUGGAAUUCCAUGUGUAGCGGUGAAAUGCGUAGAUAUAUGGAGGAACACCGGUGGCGAAAGCGGCUCUCUGGCUUGUAACUGACGCUGAGGCUCGAAAGCGUGGGGAGCAAACAGGAUUAGAUACCCUGGUAGUCCACGCUGUAAACGAUGAGUGCUAGGUGUUAGACCCUUUCCGGGGUUUAGUGCCGUAGCUAACGCAUUAAGCACUCCGCCUGGGGAGUACGACCGCAAGGUUG